CCUACGGGUGGCAGUAGUGAGGAAUAUUGGUCAAUGGACGAGAGUCUGAACCAGCCAAGUAGCGUGAAGGAUGACUGCCCUAUGGGUUGUAAACUUCUUUUAUAUGGGAAUAAAAUGUUCCACGUGUGGGAUUUUGUAUGUACCCUAUGAAUAAGGAUCGGCUAACUCCGUGCCAGCAGCCGCGGUAAUACGGAGGAUCCGAGCGUUCUCCGGAUUUAAUGGGUUUAAAGGGGGCGUAGGUGGAUUGUUAACUCAGUUGUGAAAGUUUGCGGCUCAACCGUUAAAUUGCAGUUGAAACUGGGAGGCUUGAGGACAGUUGAGGUGGGCGGAAUUUGUGGUGUAGCGGUGAAA
rnacentral:rRNA from 1 species